UACGUAGGGGGCAAGCGUUUGUCCGGAUUUAUUGGGCGUAAAGAGCUCGUAGGCGGUUUGGUAAGUCUGGUGUGAAAUCUCCACGCUCAACGUGGAGGGGCCACCCGAUACUGCCAUGACUGGAGUCCGGUAGAGGAGUGUGGAAUUCCUGGUGUAGCGGUGAAAUGCGCAGAUAUCAGGAGGAACACCAGCGGCGAAGGCGGCGCUCUGGGCCGGUACUGACACUGAGGAGCGAAAGCGUGGGGAGCAAACAGG
rnacentral:rRNA from 1 species